rnacentral:lncRNA from 1 species
UCCUGUUUGUCUUUAACGGCUCAUUUGCAUAAUGACAGACGAGAUUUGGGUCAUUAUGAGCUUCCUUUAGUACAAACAAGAAAAGCAAAGUAUAAACGGUGAACACCAAACAGCUCCCGAGAAACAAGAGAUCAAACAGGUAAGAAAUACAUAAAUCUGAGUGUAUCUUUAUAGUUUCACCAAUAAACACCAAAGUUUUGCCACAAAAAAAAAAAGAAAUAAUCAAACCCAUCGAAAUUUCUUCAGUAUUCACAGAACAAUAUACAGACACAUCGAGAUGAGUAGCAACACUGCCAUUGAUCGUGUUAAAGGCAUCCUGGCACUUGCUUCACAAUCUGAAGAAUCUGACUUGAUCAUUAUCUUGAAUUUGCAACUCCCAAC